CAGAGGUCACGCACAGAGCUGAUCCGGAAGAAGAUUUUAACCACGUUGUUUUGUUUUUGUCAGCGCGAGCUGGCUAACAUUUCGCUUUUAAUUCCUAACUAAUUGUUCUUCAGCCAUUGGGAAGUAAUUUGCUAAUUGUAAGUGCAAUAAAGAUUUUCCAUCCUGCAUCGAAGUCAAAUAUAUAAAAAGGCUGUUGGUGGGAGAUGAUCGUGUGAAGAAUGGUCUCAACCUUAUGUAUGAAGCUCCACCUGGGGCAGACAAAGGAAGGAGAAUCAGAAUACAAGUUUGAGUGGCAAAAGACGUCCCCUCGAGGGAAGUCCGUCGAUGCACCCCUCCGAGUUAAUGGCAGAGAUGCGAAACAGUGGGUUUGCCCUGAAGAAAUGUGUCCUUGGAAGAAAUUCUACUGUUUGUGAUCCAUCGCAGGUAAUCUUCUGUUCUUCUUCCCCGCAUGAAGAAAAAGACAACAAUAUCCAUGGCAGAUCCCCGGUCUAAAUGUGAUUGCUGCAAAAUGGCCAAUUAUCAGAGUAAACCACAGAGCUCUUCCAGUCGCUGCAAGUUUAGUCAAUUGGGCAGAUGUGAUGAGACUAACUGCUAAAAUUAUAGGAGUGUUGCAACACCAGAUGUAGCAGUAUAUAGUUUAACCCCCCCCCAAUAAUCUACCCUCAAACAGAAAUCAACAGAGGUUAUUCUGCUCUUACUUGCUUCACUUCCAACCAUUUGUGACGUCUUUAUUCAUGUUUUGUUAGCGUUUGAUGCAUGCUUUUUAAAAUGUUCAUUGUUUGAUUUAUUACGAAUUGUUUUUAUGCUGUCGGAGUACGUUGUCAAUGAAGAAGAGGAGGGUCCUGAGGUUGAAUUCCUGAAGUCGUUGACCACUAAACAGAAAGAGAAGCUCCUCAGGAAACUUGAGGGUCUACAAAAGAAGAGUGAAGGAAAUCAGAAGAAGGACCGUGAUAGUAGUGACAGCUCCAGUGAAAGUAGCAGCAGGGACUGACUGACAGCUCCAGUGAAAGUAGUAGCAGGGACUGACUGACAGCUCCAGUGAAAGUAGUAGCAGGGACUGACUGACAGCUCCAGUGAAAGUAGUAGCAGGGACUGACUGACAGCUCCAGUGAAAGUAGUAGCAGGGACUGACUGACAGCUCCAGUGAAAGUAGUAGCAGGGACUGACUGACAGCUCCAGUGAAAGUAGUAGCAGUGACUGACUGACAGCUCCAGUGAAAGUAGUAGCAGGGACUGACUGACAGCUCCAGUGAAAGUAGUAGCAGUGACUGACUGACAGCUCCAGUGAAAGUAGUAGCAGUGACUGACUGACAGCUCCAGUGAAAGUAGUAGCAGGGACUGACUGACAGCUCCAGUGAAAGUAGUAGCAGUGACUGACUGACAGCUCCAGUGAAAGUAGUAGCAGGGACUGACUGACAGCUCCAGUGAAAGUAGUAGCAGUGACUGAAUGACAGCUCCUGUGAAAGUAGUAGCAGUGACUGAAUGACAGCUCCUGUGAAAGUAGUAGCAGUGACUGACUGACAGCUCCAGUGAAAGUAGUAGCAGUGACUGACUGACUGACAGCUCCAGUGAAAGUAGUAGCAGUGACUGACUGACAGCUCCAGUGAAAGUAGUAGCAGUGACUGACUGACAGCUCCAGUGAAAGUAGUAGCAGGGACUGACUUACAGCUCCAGUGAAAGUAGUAGCAGUGACUGAAUGACAGCUCCAGUGAAAGUAGCAGCUGUGACUGACUGACAGCUUCAGUGAAAGUAGCAGCAGUGACUGAAUGACAGCUCCAGUGAAAGUAGCAGCUGUGACUGACUGACAGCUCCAGUGAAAGUAGUAGCAGUGACUGACUGACAGCUCCAGUGAAAGUAGCAGCAGUGACUGACUGACAGCUCCAGUGAACGUAGAAGCAGUGGCUGACUGACAGCUCCAGUGAACGUAGAAGCAGUGGCUGACUGACAGCCCUAGUGAAAGUAGCAGCAGUGACUCAGACUGACAGCUUCAGUGAAAGUAGCAGAGGUGACUGACUGACAGCUCCAGUGAAAGUAGCAACUGUGACUGACUGACAGCUUCAGUGAAAGUAGCAGCAGUGACUGAUUGACAGCUCCAGUGAAAGUAGAAGCAGUGGCUGACUGACAGCUCCAGUGAAAGUAGCAGCUGUGACUGACUGACAGCUCCAGUGAAAGUAGAAGCAGUGACUCAGACUGACAGCUUCAGUGAAAGUAGCAGCGGUGACUAAGAGUCUGAAGAGAAAGAAGAAAGGCAAGAGAAAGGACUCCUGUCGUGAUGACAACACUGAGAGUGAUGGAUGAGUCUAGAGUAAGACCAGGCCCAACCUCCAGACAGAAACAGCACAAAGAUGAUACCAGAGAGGAGAAAGAAACAGUAGAGAUGAGACACGACAGCAGGGAGAGGCAGAGAACCAGCAGCAGCUCCCAGCCUGGCCCAGACGGAAGGAGAGAGAUAUAAAGACAAGGUUCACAGUAGAGAUGAGGCAAACAGUAGAAGAGAGAUGGAUAGAAGUAGGAGCAGAGAUGGAGCAAAGAAUAAAGCAGCCGCAAAGGGAGGAGUAGGAUCCUAGAUGGAGGGAGGGAGAGAGGGGGAGGCAAAGGGAGGAGCAGGAGCAGAGGGAGGGAGAAUGAGAAAAGAGCCAGGGGGAGAGCUGAGAGAAAGCACUGAACUGUGAGAGUAGACAAUCUUACAAAUUGGGCCAGUGAUACCAUUUUAUUUUGCUGAUGUAAACAUUUUUGACACGUUUUGACGAUUUUACGAUGCUAUUGUUAAUAUGUACAUUUUUCUUGGUUGGCCCACUUAUUAAACAAACACAUAGAAACCAAAGUUUUAGUAACACCAUGUUUUGGUGUUGCAUGCUAGUUGGCUGCUACGGUCAAAUGAGUGCAGGGGCGUAUUCAUUAUGCCGAUUCUGUUGCAAAAUGUUGAGCAGAAGCAAACUGAAUGAAACCGGGAGGGGCCUACCUGAAUUUGACCAAUAGAAACUGUUCAAAAUGUUCCAUUUUGCUACUGUUAGGACUAGUGAUUACACCCCUGCUCCUCAAAUAGUUCUUAUUUUCAUCCACUAGAGGGCAGCAGUAGACCUAAAAUAACUUCAACCACAGAAAUAUUUUGCAUUUGUCAGAUUAUUGAACAACUGCAUGUCUUGCAAGCACUAUUAUUGAUGGUUGUCACUUUAGUCCAGAAAACCCUCUUCAGAAUUCUAAUAAAAAAUAUUAUUGCAACUCGA